rnacentral:lncRNA from 10 species
CUCCCAGUUUCACGGCCAGUACAAGGCCAUUCUUACACUGCUCGGGGGAGCCCCUCAGGAGAAGACACAUUUAAGAGUUUCCAGCAAGAAGAGUCAGGUCAUGCAGUCAGCUGCUUUCUCAGCCCAGCUGUGGGAAUGUAAACAAGUUUCUAACCUCAUUGAAUCUUAGGUUCCCUGUUUGGAAACAGAUGAGAUCCACAACAGCCAUUAUCUUAUUGGAUGGUUGUUGUAUGGCAGGGGCUGUACUGAAGAGUCACACACAUUACUUAGUCUUCCCAACAAUCCUGCAAGGGCCUCCCAAAGUGCUGGAAUUACAGGCAUGAGCCACCACCCCUGGCCUGGACAUUUUUUAGUAUAUGGUUUAAAGAAGGUAUUUUUUUUUCCUUCCAACAAAUUACUAAAUUUGUCCUAACACUGUUGUUGGUGAAUUCCCUUUUUUCUUGCUGAUCCCAAAUUUCAUCUUAAUCGUAUACUUAGUUCUUAAAUCUACCAAGCUAUUUUUCUUGGUUUUCCAUUGCGUUCCAUGGAUCUAUAUUCCUAGUCUUGUGGCAACACAACACUUUUUACAUUAUUGUAGGUUUAUAUGUUUUAAUAUUUGUUUCCUUACAUAAAAAUUUAAAAAACUGUUUUAAAUGUUUUAUUGAAGUGUAAUAUACAUAGGAAGAGUCCACAUUUCAUAAGUGAAUGGCCCAAUAAAUUUUCACAGACUGACUGUGUCAGCCUAAGCCAAAUCAGGAAAUACAGCAUUACCAGCACCCCAGAAGCACCAUCCUACCAUCAAACCAUCAACCUCUUCCAGCUGAUGCCCACUCCAAGGGUGACGAUGUCUUGACUUUGAUCAAGAUUGGUUUUGCCUAUUGUUGGACUUUAUGUAAUAAGAACCAUAUGGCUUCUCCUUUUGUAUUUGUCUUCUUCCAUUCAACUUUAUGUUUUUGAGAGUCAUCCAUAUUGUUGAGUAUAGUUUUAAAUUGUUCAUGCCCAUUGCUGUAUAGUAUUUCUUUGUGUAAAUAUGCCAUGAUUGAUUCUUUCAUUCUACUAUUGAUUUGUAUUUGGGUAGUUUCCAAGCUUGGAACUACUACAAAUAAUGCUGCUAUGAAUGUUCUAGUACCUUAUGUGAACAUAUGCAUGCAAUUCAUUGGUGAGCAUAUGUAUGCACUUCUGUUCAAUCUAUUCCUGGGAGUAGAAUUACUGGGUCACAGAGUAUGUAUAUAUUCUUUAUAGCAGAUACUCACAGAUAGCUUUCCAGAGUGGUUGUAGUAAUUUACAAUCCCAUUAGCAGUAUUUAAGAUGUCCAGUUGCCUACACCCUUACCCACACUUAGUACUUUCUGUCUUAUUUAUUUAGCUAUUCUAGUGUGAGUGAUACUGAGGUUUGAAUUUCCAUUUUCAUGAUGACUCAUCAGGCCAUACACAUUUUUGUAGCUUUAUUGGUCAUUUUUAUAUCUAUGUAACUGUAUCUUCAAGUUUUUUGCCUUCUUUUUAUUGAGUUGCUUUAAAAAAAAACUGACUACUAGGAGAUCUUCAUAUAGUUGGGAUUUGUGUUCAUUGUUAGAUAUGUAUGUUGUAAAUAUCAUCUUUUACUCUUUGGGUUGCCUUUUCACUCUUUUGUGUCCUUUGAUGACACCAUUAACGUUUUAAUACAAUCUAAUACAUUACUUUUUUCUCUUACGGUUGCAUUUUUGGUAACAUGUUUAAGAAAUCUUUGUCGUCUCCAAUAUCAUAAUCAUGUUUUCUUAUAUAAGCUUAAUGUUUCUUAUCUUCAGAUUUAGAUGUGCAAUCCACUUGCAAUUGAUUUUUUUAAUUAUAGUUUAAGUUCUAGGGUACAUGUGCACAACGUGCAGGUUUGUUACAUAUGUAUACAUGUGCCAUGCUGGUGUGCUGCACCCAUUAACUCGUCAUUUACAUUAGGUAUAUCUCCUAAUGCUAUCAAUUGAUUUUUGUGUAUGAUGUGAGGUAGAAGGAUAAAAUAUAUCCUUUCAUAUGGGUAUCCAACUGACCCAGAACCAUUGAUUAAGAUGCCUGUCUUUUCUCCACUGCCUAAGAGAUGCACACUGUAUGAAUGAAUAUUACACAGCAAUGAGCAUGAAUGAUUUAAAACUAUAUUUGACGAUAUGGAUGAAUCUCACUAACAAGGUUGAAUGGAGGAAGACACAUACAAAAGGGCAGCAAAUAUGAUUUUUUUGUAUGUCACAAAUCAGGCAGCCAUGUAUGUGGAAGACUGUAACCACUGUAUUUUUUUUUUUUUUUUUGAGACAGAGUCUCACUCUGUCACCCAGGAUGGAGUGCAGUGGUGCAGUCACAGCUCACUGCAGCCUCAACCUCCUGGGCUCAAGCAAUUCUCCCACUUCAGCCUCUGGAGUAGCUGGGACUACAGGCACAUGCCACCACGCCUGAGCUAAUUGUUGUGUUUUUUUUGUUUGUUUUUGUUUUUGUUUUGUAGAUAUAGAACCUUGACAUGUUUCUCAGGCUGGUCUGAAACUCCUGGGGCUCAAGCGAUCCACCUGCCUCCACCUCUCAAAGUGCUGAGAUUACAGGUAUGGGCCUCCAUGCCCAGUCUCUAUUCUAUCUCAUUUAUCAAUUUAACUAUUCUUGUGCAAAUACCAAAAAUGUCUUAAUUACUAAAACUUUAAAAUAGAUCUUACUCACUGGUAAUAUAAGCCCUGUAGCUUUAUUCUUCUGCAAGGUUGCCUUGGCUAUUCCUGGGUCUUUGGAUUUUUAUAUAAAUUUUAGUAUAA